GUCGCCAGCUAGCUGUGUGGCCUCAGAGCACACUCUUAACCCCUCUGAGUUUGGCUUACCUGAAUCACAGCGGGCCAGCUGAGUGCAACCAUUUUCAAGGUCUGUUCAUACAAUUCAGAGGACUCAAGGUCCAGACUCACCAACAUUGCCAAGUGAAACUGUGCCAGCCUUCAAACUUCUCAGCCUUCUGAGGAUUGACUGCCCAGAAUUGGUAUAUCCCGUAACCCUGUCCGAGACUAGGGUAAAGCUGCAAGUGGGUUCACUCCUCCUGCCAGACGUGUGCCCAGGCCAACCUACAAGGGGCUCUCCACAUACGUCAGUCUCUACACUAGCUUUGCAGACACCAACUGGACAUAGAUUGGUAGGAUGGAUAGAAGCGUUUCCAGCCUCCAGGAAAAUAGCAGAUGUGAUGGCUCUGGUACUCCUGGACCACAUCAUUCCUUGGUUUAGUGUCCCACUAACCAUCCAGACGGACAACGAACUCAUCAAACAACUAACCAAGUUCUCCAUUAAACUCAGACACUUGCCUUCUCACCUCCCACAAGGGACAGAUGCUUGACAUCUCCAGGAUGACAGUACAUGGGAUGCCUUUCCAGCCACACCUCUUGCUGAGCAUGGACCCACCAACACCUAGCUCUCCCCUUCCCCGCGUCGCCCUAUACCCGCAGGAAGUAGCCAGACUUGAGUCAAUGUUCCUUUUUCUCAGAGAGCCUAUCAUUUCAAUUUCAUGUCAUCCCUAUAUCCAAAGAGUCUGGAAUAUUAAGUUGGGAGCAUAGACCCCAGCUCCUUGCAUCUAUCCUAGCCCCCAGGCCUGAAAGUUGUAUUGGUCUGGACUCCAAAUCCCAGCAUGCCAGGUCCUGACCCCUCCCUCGGGGUUCAGGACCACUCCCACAGGGUAUUUAAGUGAACUCCCAAAAGAGGAACAUGUGGUCUCUUUUUCUUCCUCCUGGUGGUCUCCUUUGCAGCCUCCUGGUUCCCCCUCGGGGGCCACCUGAGAGAGCAGGAAUCCCAUUAUUUUUUAAUUUGGCUUGUUUUGAUUGGGCUUGAUUGGGAUUUUGCAUUGGCAGAGAGCUCAUGUUAGGAAAAAUUCCUAACACUUACAAGCAGUAUGUAUGGCCAUAGACACCUCUGGAACUUUAGGUGUCUUGGUAAGAAGCAGCCCUAUCUUUAGCUAAUGUCCCAAGUAGCGUCUCUCCUCAACCUUGGUUGCUAGCUCCUAAUUGACCACUGAAUUCCCUCCUUAGCCAAUCACAAAGGGAGAUCAAAGGUGCUUGCAUUUGUGAUGGCUAGCAUUACAUUGGAAGGUUUAAUUGCUAUGUUUAUGAUUUAUAAGGCAUCUGGCAUGCAAACCCCGACCUUCUGCAGGCUGUCAGCUCACUUUCCUUUUUCCCAGACGUUGACUGAAUCUGUAAAUUCUGAUGUUCUUACAAGAUAAUAGGUCAUAAGAUUAACUGCUAUUUCUCCUUUUGUAAUCAAGCUUGCUUACUAUGCUUUAAAGGUUGAUUAGGACAAUUGCAAGACAUACGUAUUUUAAAAAGAGUCUUUGUGGUGAUUUGAAUAAAAAUGGUCCCCAUAGGCUCUUAGGGAGUGGCACUAUUAGGGGCUGUGGCCUUUUUGGAAUAGGUGCCUUAGUUUGGGUUUUUAUUGCAAUGAAGAGACACCAUGACCAUGGCAACCCUUACA